rnacentral:rRNA from 1 species
GACGAACGCUGGCGGCGUGCUUAACACAUGCAAGUCGAACGGAAUCCAUGUGGUGGUAACACCGCGGAAGAUUUAGUGGCGAACGGGUGAGGAACACGUGAGGAACCUGCCCCAAACUUUGGGAUAACAGUUGGAAACGACUGCUAAUACCAGAUGCCGUUACUUUGUCGCAUGGCGAGGUAACGAAAGUUUUUCGGUUUGGGAGGGCCUCGCGGCCUAUCAGCUUGUUGGUGAGGUAAUGGCUCACCAAGGCAACGGCGGGUAGCUGGUCUGAGAGGAUGAUCAGCCACACUGGGACUGAGACACGGCCCAGACUCCUACGGGAGGCGGCAGUGGGGAAUCUUGCGCAAUGGGCGAAAGCCUGACGCAGCAACGCCGCGUGCGGGAAGAAGGCCUUAGGGUUGUAAACCGCUUUCAGCAGGGAAGAAAAUGACUGUACCUGCAGAAGAAGGUGCGGCCAACUACGUGCC